rnacentral:tRNA from 1 species
GCCCGGUUAGCUCAAUCGGUAGAGCGUGAGACUCUUAAACAGAGAUUCACAUCUCAAGGUUGCGGGUUCGACCCCCGCAUCGGGCU